UCUAUUACUUGGGAAAUUUGUGCGCUUAUUUUCAUUUUUAAUAUUUGGAUAAAAGUGACCUCAACAUUUGUAUCAAUAUAAUUCAACAUUGCAAGUUUGCAACUUACAAGCAUCGUCAGCUGUUGAUUUUGUACUCGUAGCAAAAUUGUGAAUUAACAAUCAUUGAUUUGUUCUUUGUCACUUUCUUAUUCCACCGUGCAACCUUUCCCCUCUUUCCACUCUACCUGGCUAGCUGCUAAACCUGCUUUUCUGGCUCCAGGAACAUUGUAAGUUGGAUCAACCCAUUUUAACAUGAUCGUCUCUCUGUCCAUAUAAGCAAUUAAAGUUCUUCUGUCUCUGUAAAAUAGCUCAUCCAUAAUCAAAAGGUUUUGUUUUCAAGAAUCGUGUCGCCACCGUGAAUUUGUGCUAAAAUACAGAGCUAUUUUUAGAUGCUUGCCUGCAGUAGUAGAAUUGACCAUUCAGUAAAAAUAUGCUUGCUAUAAAUGGUUUGGUCAUACUCAAUUCUAGUUAUGACAGUUCUCUCGGACGUUGCUCUUGCUCGUUGGUCACCUACAGUGGAGAGUUGUCCACACCACUCCUGCAUCCAAUAUUUCUCAUGGUGAUGAGCUCAUUUCUGUCAGUAGCUAUCUUCUCAUUUCCGGCAUGGAGAGCCCUGAAGCAGCUGGAAAGGAUAGCUCAUAAAUUGUCGAAAGUAGUUGCAGAAGAGGUACCGGGAACUUUAUCGUCGCUAAAGCUGUCCAUUAUGGAGAUCAGUGAUAUAACUAGCCAACUAAAGAACCUUAGGCAAAGUUUCACAAUAAAUAGAUCUGAGAGAUGACUAAUGUUUUAGGAAGAUCUUUGGACUGGAGGACCAAAGCAGGGUCUGUAGCUAUGUCAGUCCUUGUUAAGUGACAAAUUCUCGACAUUUGCAGAAACAUUCCGCAAAUGAUGAUUGUCACACUACCCCUGUUGAUGUAGCUUGGCAAAUGUAAUGUGGUGUGAUGAAAAUACCAUAUUGCACAAUGACCCAAAGCUCUUCUACACAUACAUUUAAAAUUUAUAAUACUGUACUUAAUUUUGGUUGGAUUGCAACAUAUUGCGCUCCCUACAGUCUGGCGUAUUUCUUGAUGCCUUCAUCAAAGCUCUUCAUCUGCUCUGGCAUUGGCAGCCUGCUAACUGAUAGGGUGACCCUUGCUGUUGACACCAAAGUUGUGCGCUCCGAAGUUGUAGGAUCCAUUAGCCAUAUUUGGACCUCCCAAACCUGUUUAGGAUGAGUAAAAAA